UCAAAAGAAUUGCAUCAAAAUUUCAAAUGUUUUAGUCAGAAUUUUGUACUCAAUUUAAUUUUGGUUGAUUAUUGUGUCACUUUAAAGUGGUUCAAAAUCCGUGUUGGUUUUUGAUCAUUUUUAUUUUGUUGACUAUGAUUAUUUCUUAUUAUACUCAGGCCUACAAAUAAACCAAUUUUCAGAAAAAUUUACGACAGCGUCCAUAACUUGUCCACUUGAUAUUAAAUUAUACGCUGAUUAGAUGAUCAAAAAGAAGUGUUACUUUUUAAUAAUCAAUAGUAAAUAUAUUUGACGAUAUAUUUAAUUAAAGAUUUGAUAAUUAGUUCUGAAUCACCAGAUUUAGUCAAACUGACUCAGUAGGGUGGCAAUCAAAAAUUCAAAUAUGGAAACUGGAUACUACUGGGCAAAUUCCAUUACUUACAAGCUCGUAUAUACAUAUGUACCUACAUAUAUAUACUACAAAAUGGUCUCAAGAAUUUGCAUAUAUGAAGUCAUUCAAGCUUUGUGUUUCAGAGUAUCCUACUGGCUUUGAUGGGCACAUGAAAUGAAUGAGUGGGCGUUGAAUCAUCGGCACUGAGUGGCUGCGAGAAUGAGUAAUUUAUUCAUCUUUACAUUUUGUGCAAUUGUGUUAUUUAUACAAAUGACUUCAGAAUUUUAUUAUUGCACUGCCUAUGCACAAAUCAGUUAAUAAUUAAGUUCUUCUGGCCUAUAAUCCAGAGCCGAUAUUGAGCUUUGUAACAGUUUCGAACGCAAUACCAGCAAUACCAAUUGAAGCUUAAUAAACAUUUGUUCGAUUUAUGGUGCCUAUA